rnacentral:rRNA from 1 species
GUCCGCGCGGUCAACGAUGCGCACUGGGUGUCCGGGCAUGGCCUGGGCGCCGAAGCGAACGCGUUAAGUGCGCCGCCUGGGGAGUAUGCCCGCAAGGGUGAAACUCAAAGGAAUUGACGGGGCCCGCACAAGCGGUGGAGCAUGUGGUUUAAUUCGAUGGUACGCGAGGAACCUUACCCGGGCUUGACAUGCACAGGGAUUAUUUAGAGAUAGGUAAGCGCAGCAAUGCGCCUGUGAACAGGUGCUGCAUGGCUGUCAU